rnacentral:misc_RNA from 1 species
AAGUUGUAACAAGGUUUCCGUAGGUGAACCUGCGGAAGGAUCAUUAAUACGCUUUUGUUUGUAACAAAACAAAACGUUUUAAACUCCAAAAGAAAUAGUGGAAAUAUAACUUCCGGAUGCGAAUGUUGGGAACUGAGUAAAAUCGGUUCUUUGAAAAAGGGACUUCAAGCAAUUGACACUUCAGAGUAGAGCAGUGAGGUGAAAUUCUCUUUAUUGAGAGUUUGGUUCUGAAAAACAUUUGUAUCCGGUUAUCUUAAUCUGUUCUACAAACUCCAAAAUAUCAAACAAUAAACCCCAUGUACAACAACUUGAACUAAACAUUUUUUUGUUAUCGGCUUGCACUUGUGUGAGAAGAUACUACAAAGAAAAAACCUGAACUUAAGAACAACUCUUAACAACGGAUAUCUUGGUUCUC